rnacentral:rRNA from 1 species
UACGGGGGGGGCAAGCGUUGUUCGGAAUUACUGGGCGUAAAGGGCGCGCAGGCGGCUGCUCAAGUCAGGCGUGAAAGGCCUGGGCUCAACCCGGGAAUUGCGCUUGAGACUGGGCUGGCUUGAGUGCGGGAGAGGAUGGUGGAAUUCCCAGUGUAGAGGUGAAAUUCGUAGAUAUUGGGAAGAACACCGGUGGCGAAGGCGGCAUUCUGGACCAACACUGACGCUGAGGAGCGAAAGCCAGGGGAGCAAACGGG